UUUGUGUUCUUCCAUGAGUUCUAAAAAUGCAUCAUGUAAUUCAUCAACAGUAAAAUCACAUUCAAGUUCAGAAUCUACCUCAUCGUCAUUAGCUAUAUGGCAGAUUUGAGCCGUCUCUUGUUGAUCUUUCUCUUCCGAACUUGACGCCUCACUUUCACUCCAUUCAGCCAUGAAGUUCUUCUUUUUAAGUUUUCGUGCCAUCCACUUCAAUUCCGGACAAUUUAUCUUGAAAUGCCCGGGCUUGUUACACUCAUAGCAAAUUGGCGUUUCCUUUUCUUUUUCCUUGUCCUUACCCUUUUCUUUGCUUGAACUACCUUU
rnacentral:lncRNA from 1 species